AAUAAUUGGAUGUAUGCUUUAGCUGGUUAUAUCGUGGAGGUUCUAUCAGGCAAUACGUGGGAAGACGAACUAAGGGCGAGAAUCUUGGAUCCUCUGGAGAUGUUAGAUACGAGAAUAAUUGAUAUAGAUAUCAAUGUUACUGAUGACAAGAUGGCCAAACCUUAUGCAAUGGUUGACGACGAGGUCAUACCGUCUCCGCCAGAAAUAUAUACAUUAACUCCAGGGGAACCUGCUGGAGCUAUUGCAUCUUCAGCUGAAGACAUGUCAAAAUGGAUCCAAUUUAUCCUAAACAAGGGUAAUUUGACUGACGGUCAGAUGGUUGC